CUCCGCCUUUGUUGAUUCAUUGGAGUUCUUUCUUUAACUUUCUCUCUUCUGUUACGUCGGACAAAUCCUAUAAGUUAUUCGUCCUUUCAUUUCCCUCUUCAACACAACACGAAAGUUUCUCUUAAACCCUGGCAUCUGAGGUAAGGCAUUGAGUAUUGAUCGGUUUCAGAAACAAACUAAUGGAAACAAUGAGCUAAUUUUCAUGUAAGUAGAUGAGCCAAAGAUCUGACUCAUUUGGAUGGCAAAGCAUAUGUGUCCCGGCAAUUGUUUCAUCAGCCAACAUCUCCCGGGAAAUACAAACAAGGAAUGAACUGAUCCAGGAAAAGCUAUAGGUUCAGGCGGUCCAACUAUCUAUGAGUCUAUGACCAAAUAUCAAAACAGGUUUUUUUCGCAGUGGCAAAUGGAUUAUUGCCUGCCGGACACUGCAAGCACUAAUUCAAGGACUCUGGUGACAUGGAUCUAUCAUUGUGGGUUCCGUACUGGACCUUCGGUCAUUGGUCAGAUCGUGUCCAAAUAAUGUCUUAUAAUUUUAAAUUAGAAGCCCAUUUGUAAGAUCGCAUCUUAAUUGUGCUUUGUUCAUCAAAAUCCUUGAUACUUUUGGUUGGUAUGAAUGAAACGUUUGAAG